AAGGGAACACUGGGCCACCUGGACCACCAGGAGGCCCAGCAGUUAAUCCGAUAGACCCAUGUACUUCCAAUCCCUGUGUGAAUGGGAUCUGUAGAAAGUCAGGCUCUUCUUAUUCAUGCAUUUGUAAUCGAUGUUAUUCAGGAAGCAGAUGUCAAUACUAUGAUUCUAAACGCUGCUUAAUCGAGCCCUUUGAGCCUCUGGAGCUGCCACUGAAGUAGAUGGUCGUCUAAAGUAGUAGCUUCAGUCUUGCACAUCAAUCUUGCACGACAAUCUCCUUUUCUAUCCGUGCAGAUCAUCGCGCACUUGGGUCUUGAUAAGCAGGGCCACCAAUAUAAACAUUUUUCUCAGUAGUACUAAUAACUAGUGACUGAUUAAGACGCAUUUUAUUUUUUUAAUUAUUAUUAUUUUUGUACAGGUCUCCCUCUAAUGAAAGGCCCCUCCAACUGAAGACCACCUCCAAUUAAAGACCACUUUUCUGUGGUCCCAAAUUAACCAGUCUUUUAUUUUUAUUAUUCUAAUUAGAGACCAAAGCUGCUAAAGACCAUAAAAACCCUGUCCCAAGAGUGGUCUGUAAUUGGAUUCUGUAAUUGAAAUAUUGUGAAUGUAAUAAUACGGUAGCUUUUUAACAAGUCAGAUUUAAAGCUAAAUUUACUUAAAUAAAUCAGCUAGUAUUAAAUUGAUCAUCACAUUAAGUGGUUCUUAUAAUAAAAUUGUGUGUUGCGUUUUUAGAUUGUCUUCAUGAUGGGACAUGAAUGCAAAUACAGUGGCUAUGGUUAAACCAGUUUCAACGAAUUCCUAAUUCCUAUUGGAUGUUAUUGUCCUAAUCCAAUCUAUUCAUACAGUAGCAUCCAGUCACACUGUUACUGAGUACCGGUACAGUUUUAUUUUCAAAUACUAGUUGAAAGUACUGUAGGAAACAAUAUUUUAUCUGCUGUAUUUUAUUUACCUUUAAAAAUCUUUGAUUAUCUCGUUGUUUAUAGUUUUGUAUUGUUUUGUA